rnacentral:rRNA from 1 species
GACGAACGCUGGCGGCGUGCUUAACACAUGCAAGUCGAACGGAAAGGCCCUGCUUUUGUGGGGUGCUCGAGUGGCGAACGGGUGAGUAACACGUGAGUAACCUGCCCUUGACUUUGGGAUAACUUCAGGAAACUGGGGCUAAUACCGGAUAGGAGCUCCUGCUGCAUGGUGGGGGUUGGAAAGUUUCGGCGGUUGGGGAUGGACUCGCGGCUUAUCAGCUUGUUGGUGGGGUAGUGGCUUACCAAGGCUUUGACGGGUAGCCGGCCUGAGAGGGGGACCGGCGACAUUGGGACUGAGAUACGGCGCAGACUCGUACGGGAGGCAGCGGUGGGGAGUAUUGCACAAUGGGCGGGAGCCUGAUGCAGCAACGCCGCGUGCGGGAUGACGGCCUUCGGGUUGUGAACCGCUUUCGCCUGUGACGAAGCGUGAGUGACGGUAAUGGGUAAAGAAGCACCGGCUAACUACGUG